CACGGCGGGACCUCUUCGCUCCGUCGUCUUUCCCUCUUCGUUAAGACUAAACUCCAACUCUCUAUCUCACCUUCUCAGUCCCUCCCAUUUCCUCCUCCAGUAAAUGGACGUAGAGAAAGUAAGCCUCUCCAAACAUAAACUAAAACUCUUCCCUUUACAACUAUUUACUGCAGUAAAGCAAGUGUCGGCGCUGCCGACGCGCUCGGUUGCCGCCGUUCUCACUCUGGCGGCGGUGGUGAUGAUAUCGACGGUGUGGUUCCUGCCGCCAGCCACCGUCCCUGUCUCUUACGACCGCAAGGCCAUCAUCAUCGAAGGACAGCGUCGAAUCCUCUUCUCCGGCUCCAUCCAUUACCCUCGAAGCACACCCGAGAUGUGGCCGGGCCUUGUCAAGAAGGCAAAAGAUGGCGGCUUGGAUGUGAUUCAGACUUAUGUGUUCUGGAAUGGCCACGAGCUUUCACCUGGAAAGUAUUACUUCGAGGGAAGAUACGACUUGGUUCGAUUCAUCAAGGUGGUGAAGGAUGCUGAGCUUUAUGUGAAUCUUCGUAUUGGGCCUUACAUUUGUGCUGAGUGGAAUUUUGGGGGAUUCCCUGUCUGGCUCAAGUAUGUUCCUGGCAUUAGUUUCAGAACUGACAAUAAGCCUUUUAAGGUAGCAAUGCAAAGAUUUGUUGAGAAGAUUGUUUCCAUGAUGAAGUCUGAAAAGCUAUUUGAGUGGCAAGGUGGGCCAAUCAUACUUACUCAGAUUGAGAAUGAGUUUGGCCCAGUUGCAGAAUAUGGAGGAGCAGAUGAUCUUUCUUAUGCACAAUGGAGUGCGAAAAUGGCAGUUUCACUUAACACUGGUGUGCCAUGGAUUAUGUGCAAAGAAGAUGAUGCUCCUGAUCCAAUUGUUAACACCUGCAACGGAUUCUUCUGUGAUGGAUUCUCUCCUAAUAAACCAUACAAACCUGCUAUGUGGACUGAAGCUUGGACUGGCUGACCUGUUGAAAAUUUGGCUUUUGCGGUUGCAAACUUUAUCCAGAAAGGUGGAUCAUUUGUUAACUACUACAUGUACCAUGGAGGAACAAACUUUGGUCGCACAUCCAGUGGUCUAUUUGUUGCAGCAAGCUAUGACUAUGAU